AACGAACGCUGGCGGCAUGCCUAACACAUGCAAGUCGAACGAGACCUUCGGGUCUAGUGGCGCACGGGUGCGUAACACGUGGGAACCUGCCCUUAGGUUCGGAAUAACAGUUAGAAAUGACUGCUAAUACCGGAUAAUGUCUUCGGACCAAAGAUUUAUCGCCUUUGGAUGGGCCCGCGUAGGAUUAGCUAGUUGGUGAGGUAAAGGCUCACCAAGGCGACGAUCCUUAGCUGGUCUUAGAGGAUGAUCAGCCACACUGGGACUGAGACACGGCCCAGACUCCUACGGGAGGCAGCAGUGGGGAAUAUUGGACAAUGGGCGAAAGCCUGAUCCAGCAAUGCCGCGUGAGUGAUGAAGGCCUUAGGGUUGUAAAGCUCUUUUACUGGGGAUGAUAAUGACAGUACCCAGAGAAUAAGCCCCGGCUAACUCCGUGCCAGCCGCCGCCGUAAGAC
rnacentral:rRNA from 1 species